rnacentral:misc_RNA from 1 species
AAGUCGUAACAAGGUUUCCGUAGGUGAACCUGCGGAAGGAUCAUUACACAAUAUUACGGGGGGCCGACCCUAAAACUGCUUGCAGCUUUGGGCCUGCCCUGUCUGAUAUUCUACCCAUGUCUUUUGCGUACUUUUCGUUUCCUUGGUGGGCUUGCCUGCCAAAAGGACAACCAAUUAAACCUUUUUGUAAUUGCAAUCAGCGUCUGAAAAAACUUUAAUAGUUACAACUUUCAACAACGGAUCUCUUGGUUCUG